rnacentral:tRNA from 1 species
UGCGGGUUAGUUCAGAGGCAGAACGGCUGACUGUUAAUCAGUAUGUCGCUGGUUCGAUCCCAGCACCCGCAGCCA